rnacentral:tRNA from 1 species
GGGGAUGUGUUGGAAGCAGGUAGACAAAGAGGUCUCAAAAACCUCUGGACGCAAGUCCGUGAGGGUUCGACUCCCUCCAUCCCCA